rnacentral:rRNA from 1 species
CAGCAGCAGCCACGGGAAUACGUAGGGUGCAAGCGUUGUCCGGAAUUAUUGGGCGUAAAGAGCUCGUAGGCGGUUUGUCGCGUCUGCUGUGAAAUCCCGAGGCUCAACCUCGGGUCUGCAGUGGGUACGGGCAGACUAGAGUGCGGUAGGGGAGAUUGGAAUUCCUGGUGUAGCGGUGGAAUGCGCAGAUAUCAGGAGGAACACCGAUGGCGAAGGCAGAUCUCUGGGCCGUAACUGACGCUGAGGAGCGAAAGCAUGGGGAGCGAACAGGAUUAGAUACCCGAGUAGUCCCUGUCUCUUAUAC